UACGUAGGGGGGCAAGCGUUGUCCGGAUUUACUGGGCGUAAAGAGCGUGUAGGCGGCCACGCAGGUCCGUUGUGAAAACUGGAGGCUCAACCUCCAGACGUCGACGGAAACCGUAUGGCUAGAGUCCGGAAGAGGAGAGUGGAAUUCCUGGUGUAGCGGUGAAAUGCGCAGAUAUCAGGAAGAACACCAAUGGCGAAGGCAGCUCUCUGGGACGGUACUGACGCUGAGACGCGAAAAGCGUGGGGGAGCGAACAGG
rnacentral:rRNA from 1 species